ACAAAAUUGGUCACUAGAGAGAAAAAGGAAGGGCUAGCCGAUUUCAUGAAGUGUAGAUUUCUCUCAAGUUAUUCCAAGUGUAUUUGGUGUUGUGUGAACCAUUUGAGGUGUCACACUUGGGGCACUUGGCACUCAAGCUUCAUGAAGACUUUCUACAUCAAAGAGGUAUGUAUUCUAUCUUGUUACAUUCAUUGUUUUGUAUGCUAGAUUAGGAUAAUACCUUGGAAGUUCUUAUUUGCAUGUAUAACAGAGAAAACAUAGAUCGAAGGUAUUUAGGGUUGCAUGUACACUUAGGAGUGUUAGAAUGCUCAAAACCCUUCAGAUAUCCCCAAAAUACGAACCACACAUACGCCAUUCCAGGCUACGACCUUACGGUCCAAAUCAUAAUGCCUUCCAGCCCAUGACAUAGUGCCUUCCGACCCAUAUCAUACAUAGCAUACAUAACAUAACAGAACACAGAACAACCAUGCACUUCGGGUCUACUGUGAGACUGGUCCGCCACACUGGCCAACAGUCCACCUGGUCCACCCUCCNGUCCACCUGGUCCACCCUCCGAGUCUAGCCAUAUACAUCGAGUCUGCAGUGUGAUUGGUCCGCCCGCACCGGGCCUUCAAUCCACCUGGUCCACUCUCUAAGUCUACAGUAUGACUGGUCCGCCCGCACCGGGCCUUCAGUCGGCCUGGUCCACUCUCCGAGCCUCGGCACGUCUGGUCCGCCCUCUUGGGGCCUACAGCCUAUCCGGACCGCUCGCUGGGCCUUCGGGACAACCGGUCCGCCCUGGGUAUCUUGGCCUACAGCACAAAGCAGGACCCGCCUCAACCCAACUCCAGUCCAAAAAACCAUGUGCACAUAAACAUACAAUCAUAUAAGAAUUCACAGUCAACAAGACGAUCAAACAGAUCACAUAACAUAUCAUCAUCCUAACCAGGAUACCGACCUAACCGGUCACUAGCAU
rnacentral:lncRNA from 1 species